AUGCUCCCUUUGGCAGCGCAUAUACUACAAUUGGAGCGAUACAGAGAAGAUUAUCAUGGCCUCUGUGCAGAAACCUCCAGAGACAGAAUCCCAUUUC
ensembl:snRNA U6 U6 spliceosomal RNA